rnacentral:rRNA from 1 species
GACGUAGGUUGCAAGCGUUAUCCGGAAUUAUUGGGCGUAAAGAGUUCGUAGGCGGUUUGUUAAGUUGGAUGUUAAAUCUUUGAGCUUAACUCAAAGCAUGUGUCCAAAACUGACAGACUAGAGACAGGUAGAGGUAGAUGGAAUUCUGCAUGUAGGGGUAAUAUCCGUAGGUAUGCAGAGGAACACCAAAAGCGAAAGCAGUCUACUGGACCUGUUCUGACGCUCAAGAACGAAAGCGUGGGUAGCAAACGGG